CCUACGGGAGGCAGCAGUGAGGAAUAUUGGUCAAUGGACGAGAGUCUGAACCAGCCAAGUAGCGUGAAGGAUGACUGCCCUAUGGGUUGUAAACUUCUUUUAUAAAGGAAUAAAACGAGGCACGUGUGCCUUUUUGCAUGUACUUUAUGAAUAAGGCUCGGCUAACUCCGUGCCAGCAGCCGCGGUAAUACGGAGGAUCCGAGCGUUAUCCGGAUUUAUUGGGUUUAACGGGAGCGUAGAUGGGUUGUUAAGUCAGUUGUGAAAGUUUGCGGCUCAACCGUAAAAUUGCAAUUGAUACUGGCAGUCUUGAGUACAGUUGAGGUAAGCGGAAUUCGUGGUGUAGCGGUGAAAUGCUUAGAUAUCACGAAGAACCCCGAUUGCGAAGGCAGCUUACUAAACUGUGACUGACAUUGAUGCUCGAAAGUGUGGGUAGCAAACAGGAUUAGAUACCCGGGUAGUC
rnacentral:rRNA from 1 species